rnacentral:rRNA from 1 species
GACGAACGCUGGCGGCGUGCCUAAUACAUGCAAGUAGAACGCUGAAGAGAGGAGCUUGCUCUUCUUGGAUGAGUUGCGAACGGGUGAGUAACGCGUAGGUAACCUGCCUUGUAGCGGGGGAUAACUAUUGGAAACGAUAGCUAAUACCGCAUAACAAUGGAUGACACAUGUCAUUUAUUUGAAAGGGGCAAUUGCUCCACUACAAGAUGGACCUGCGUUGUAUUAGCUAGUAGGUGAGGUAAUGGCUCACCUAGGCGACGAUACAUAGCCGACCUGAGAGGGUGAUCGGCCACACUGGGACUGAGACACGGCCCAGACGCCUACGGGAGGCAGCAGUAGGGAAUCUUCGGCAAGGGGGGCAACCCUGUCCGAGCAACGCCGCGGGAGUGAAGAAGGGUGUCGGAUCGUAAAGCUCGGUUGUAAGUCAAGAACGGGUGUGAGAGUGGAAAGUUCACACUGUGACGGUAGCUUACCAGAAAGGGACGGCUAACUACGUG